AACGAACGCUGGCGGCAUGCCUAACACAUGCAAGUCGAACGAAGCCUUCGGGCUUAGUGGCGCACGGGUGCGUAACGCGUGGGAAUCUGCACCUUGCUUCGGAAUAACAGUUAGAAAUGACUGCUAAUACCGGAUGAAGUCUUCGGACCAAAGAUUUAUCGGAAAGGGAUGAGCCCGCGUAGGAUUAGGUAGUUGGUGGGGUAAAGGCCUACCAAGCCGACGAUCCUUAGCUGGUCUGAGAGGAUGAUCAGCCACACUGGGACUGAGACACGGCCCAGACUCCUACGGGAGGCAGCAGUGGGGAAUAUUGGACAAUGGACGCAAGUCUGAUCCAGCAAUGCCGCGUGAGUGAUGAAGGCCUUAGGGUUGUAAAGCUCUUUUACCAGGGAUGAUAAUGACAGUACCUGGAGAAUAAGCUCCGGCUAACUCCGUG
rnacentral:rRNA from 1 species